AGAGUUUGAUCAUGGCUCAGAGCGAACGCUGGCGGCAGGCCUAACACAUGCAAGUCGAGCGCCGUAGCAAUACGGAGCGGCAGACGGGAGAGUAACACGUGGGAACGUGCCCUUCAGUUCGGAACAACCCAGGGAAACUUGGGCUAAUACCGGAUACGUCCGUAAGGAGAAAGAUUUAUUGCUGAAGGAUCGGCCCGCGUCUGAUUAGCUAGUUGGUGGGGUAAUGGCCCACCAAGGCGACGAUCAGUAGCUGGUCUGAGAGGAUGAUCAGCCUCACUGGGACUGAGACACGGCCCAGACUCCUACGGGAGGCAGCAGUGGGGAAUAUUGGACAAUGGGCGCAAGCCUGAUCCAGCCAUGCCGCGUGGGUGAUGAAGGCCCUAGGGUUGUAAAGCCCUUUCGGCGGGGAAGAUAAUGACGGUACCCGCAGAAGAAGCCCCGGCUAACUUCGUGCCAGCAGCCGCGGUAAUACGAAGGGGGCUAGCGUUGCUCGGAAUCACUGGGCGUAAAGCGCACGUAGGCGGCUUUUUAAGUCAGGGGUGAAAUCCUGGAGCUCAACUCCAGAACUGCCUUUGAUACUGAGAAGCUUGAGUCCGGGAGAGGUGAGUGGAACUGCGAGUGUAGAGGUGAAAUUCGUAGAUAUUCGCAAGAACACCAGUGGCGAAGGCGGCUCACUGGCCCGGUACUGACGCUGAGGUGCGAAAGCGUGGGGAGCAAACAGGAUUAGAUACCCCCGUAGUCC
rnacentral:rRNA from 1 species